AGUGAACGCUGGCGGUAGGCCUAACACAUGCAAGUCGAACGGCAGCACAGUAAGAGCUUGCUCUUACGGGUGGCGAGUGGCGGACGGGUGAGGAAUACAUCGGAAUCUACUUUUUCGUGGGGGAUAACGUAGGGAAACUUACGCUAAUACCGCAUACGACCUACGGGUGAAAGCAGGGGAUCUUCGGACCUUGCGCGAUUGAAUGAGCCGAUGUCGGAUUAGCUAGUUGGCGGGGUAAAGGCCCACCAAGGCGACGAUCCGUAGCUGGUCUGAGAGGAUGAUCAGCCACACUGGAACUGAGACACGGUCCAGACUCCUACGGGAGGCAGCAGUGGGGAAUAUUGGACAAUGGGCGCAAGCCUGAUCCAGCCAUACCGCGUGGGUGAAGGCCUUCGGGUUGUAAAGCCCUUUUGUUGGGAAAGAAAAGCAGCAGGUUAAUACCCCGCUGUUCUGACGGUACCCAAAGAAUAAGCACCGGCUAACUUCGG
rnacentral:rRNA from 1 species